rnacentral:rRNA from 1 species
GCGUGGAGACAGGUGGUGCAUGGCUGUCGUCAGCUCGUGUCGUGAGAUGUUGGGUUAAGUCCCGCAACGAGCGCAACCCUCACCCCUAGUUGCCACCGGGUAAAGCCGAGCACUCGAGGGGAACUGCCAGCGUCAAGCUGGAGGAAGGCGGGGAUGACGUCAAGUCAUCAUGCCCCUUACGUCCUGGGCUACACACGUGCUACAAUGGCUAGUACAGAGGGAUGCGAGACCGCGAGGUGGAGCUAAUCCCAAAAAGCUGGUCUAAGUUCAGAUUGCAGUCUGCAACUCGACUGCAUGAAGUAGGAAUCGCCAGUAAUCGCGCAUCAGCACGGCGCGGUGAAUACGUUCCCGGGCCUUGUACACACCGCCCGUCACACCACGAAAGCUGGCUGUACUCGAAGUCGCUGAG